UUUCUGCACACCACUGCACAGUGUGGAGGUCAGAGGACAGCUAGAGCAGACGGUGUGUCUUGCCACCAUUUGGGUCCUGGAGAUGGAACUCAGGUCGCUGAGGAUGACCUUGAACUUCUCACGUUCCAGCCUCUACCUCCCCUGUGCUGCUGGUAUUGUAGCCUGCAUCACUACUCCAGGUUCAGGCAGUGACGGGAACAGAGUCCAGAGUUUUCUGCAGACUAGGGCUCUUAGCUCCACGCAGACAGGAGCUUGAGACAUCGCUCUCGGGAACGGCUCAGUGCCCUGACAACGCUAGGUGACCAGAAUACCCUUGCUAAAUGGAAUCGGUCAACGGUCAACUUUAAGAUAAA